rnacentral:RNase_MRP_RNA from 2 species
UCGUGCCGUCGAAGAACUGCAAAGGAGACGACAUACGGCUUUGCUUGCAAAGUGUUCUAAUCUCUCUUGGGCAAGUCCUCGAACUGAUACUGCAGCAAUGCACCGACAUAGCAGCUCGGUCUAUUCUCUCUGUCGUGCAUAUGGACUUUACCCGGCGAAGAUAUGAGCCUUGUUCAAGCAUUGCCCGUGCGGAUUGAGACAUUCUUCGUUUUAGACGAUAGUUAUGCAGUUUAGCAUGUCCGAAAGGAUGUCAAAACACGAUGAGGCUUACUCUCGAUGCACG